AUGAGGCACCACUGUCUUGAAUACUUCCGGUUCACCCUGCGGGUGAAGUUGGGACGCCAAGCAGAUGUAUCACUGUGGUGGACGUUCGGUGGAGGAACCAGACUGGAAGUUGGAAGUGAUGUCCGUCCCUCCCUGACGGUGCUGCCUCCCUCCGUGGAGGAGCUGGACCAGGGGAAGGCCACGCUCAUGUGCCUGGCCAACAAGGGCUUCCCCUCAGACUGGAGUCUGUCCUGGAAGGUGGACGGCAGCAGCAGCAUCAGCAACGGGGAGCAGAGCAGGAGCCCCGGGGUGCUGCAGAAGGACGGCCACUACAGCUGGAGCAGCACCCUGAGGCUCCCUGCAGACCAGUGGAGGAAGGUGGUCUCUGUGACCUGUGAGGCCAGCCAGGGCUCCCAGACUCCGCUCUCAGAGACACUGAGGAGAGACCAGUGUUCCCAGUCCUGACCUGACUCACUGGGACUCUCACACUGCUUUCACUCUCUCUCUGCUCUCUGGCUUUUCUUUCACAUCUUCCAAUAACAGGAUUUACUGGCUUCUUGCUGUGUUUCAAUGUUGUUUCACUGCUUCUAAAUAAUAAAGAUCUGCUCAUCAACUCA